rnacentral:rRNA from 1 species
AUUGAACGCUGGCGGCAGGCCUAACACAUGCAAGUCGAAUGGUAACAGGAAACAGCUUGCUGUUUCGCUGACGAGUGGCGGACGGGUGAGUAAUGUCUGGGAAACUGCCUGAUGGAGGGGGAUAACUACUGGAAACGGUAGCUAAUACCGCAUAACGUCGCAAGACCAAAGAAGGGGACCUUCGGGCCUCUUGCCAUCAGAUGUGCCCAGAUGGGAUUAGCUAGUAGGUGGGGUAACGGCUCACCUAGGCGACGAUCCCUAGCUGGUCUGAGAGGAUGACCAGCCACACUGGAACUGAGACACGGUCCAGACUCCUACGGGAGGCAGCAGUGGGGAAUAUUGCACAAUGGGCGCAAGCCUGAUGCAGCCAUGCCGCGUGUAUGAAGAAGGCCUUCGGGUUGUAAAGUACUUUCAGCGGGGAGGAAGGGAGUAAAGUUAAUACCUUUGCUCAUUGACGUUACCCGCAGAAGAAGCACCGGCUAACUCCGUG